CACAAUAGUCACUAGACUCGUUGUCGUUCAAAGACUUGAACGAAGGUGAGAGAGAAAAAUAUAAGGCAAACCUACACAAAUAGUUGAAACUUGAAACCCGUGGCUUCUUUCUUGUUAUCGACUCGGUAGCGUAGUUUUGUUGACAAAAAAAAAAAAACCAAAGAGCGGUAUUUUCGGGGAGGGAGUUUUAGAGAGAGGGAGUUUAGAGAGAGAUGACUGAGAUCUCAGGUCUGGUAUCGCUGCGCUUCCUACUACUAUUCUCCUCAAUUUCUCUACAAUUCCUUACAGGCUUCUCAAAUGAUUCAUCAAGUUCCAAAAAUGAGAAAAAGGUUGAUGCUCCAUCUACUUCUAGUAGUGGCACUGCAUCCAAGAUAAUCAUCAUAUGUCUUCUGCUGGUGGCAGUUGUGCUUUUAUCAUUUUUUCUUUUCAAAUUAUAUCAAAAGAAAAAGCGUGAGGAACAGUAUGCCCGUCUUUUAAAGUUGUUUGAAGAGGAUGAUGAGCUCGAGCUUGAACUUGGCCUUCGGGAUUGAGCCUGUCUACCAGAUGUAAAUCAGUUUGAUGUAGUUGAGUAGGAGAGGGUGACCAUUUCAAUUGCUGAUCAAGGGAUGCCCAACAAGAGCUAUUUUCUGUAUGGAUGAAAGUAUGAUUCGGAUGACACUUCAACUUGGUACAAGUGUACAUGUUUAAGCUUUGAGAUAUUACCAACGGAACAAUCUUCACAAGUCUUAAAAGGAACAGAAAUGCUAAGUCCACUAAAGAGCACAAUGUCAUUCUCUUAUGAAACCGAGGACAAGGUAUAAUUGGCAAUUCGUUGUUUUGAAGCUACUUCAAAUGGUCACCACGCGUUAUAAUGUAAUUCUCAUAUGAUGAGAUUAACAUUGUUCAAUUGUAAUUGUAUCAGUUGUAAUUAUUGGGUCAGACCGGGUUUCCUGUAAUUUGAAUUUUGGCCAUGCAUGGUAGAUAAGAAACGGAUGUAUGAAAUGUUUGGCAAGUUUCAGUAUGCAGUUUUUGUGAAGGUGUCUUGUGAUAUUGAUGCACGUGUUUUGAGUAAUACAAA